GUGACAGUUUUACUUUUUUUUAUACCGAUAUUUAUAUUUUUAGUAGGAACUUGAAUCUAUAUUUCUAAACGAAAGCAUUUAAUGAAUAUAUUGAUUAGAUUGGAAUAUUUAGUUCUCUCUAUCUUUAUAUUACUUAUACUUGUAACUUUUUUAAUAGGUCUAGAAACUUAUGUUAGCCUUAUUUUCUUGGUAGCUUCUGUGUGCGAAGGUAGUUUAGGAGUUGGGAUAAUAGUUGGAAUAGUGCGAUCACAUGGUUCCGACUAUAUUAGCAGUUUUAAUGUUUUAAAAUGUUAA
rnacentral:misc_RNA from 1 species